CACCUCCGCCUCACACAACGCGUGAGAGGACGCUGUUUUUGAUUUGGGACACUACUCAGGAGGCCGCUGAUAAUUCAAGUGGUUUGCAACGGAUCUUUAGUCUGGCGCAACGAAACAGAACGCAGUGAAAUGAGAUAAGUAAUGUGAACCGCAGAAUUCAGUGAAUCGUCGAAUAUUGGAACCCACAUUGCGCCCGUCAGUAUUAUGGCGGGCAUGCCUGUUCGAGCGUCAUUACACCAUCACGACCUGGCGUUGGGGAUCGCGGAGCCCCGUCCCCCAAAUACAGUGGCGGUCCCGCCGAGCUUUGCGUAGUAGUAACCCUCGCAACUGGUGAGCGGCGCGGCCAAGCCGUAAAAACCCAACUUCUGAA
rnacentral:rRNA from 1 species